UUAAAGAAAGUGAAGAAGGAAAGAAGUUAUUCAGAUUCAGAUGAAGAUGAUGUGCCAUUGGCUUCAAGGACGAAGAUUGGUUUGCAAAAAAAGCAAUCUGUCAA